CCAUGCUGUUUUCCAUAGUGGUUGUACCAAUUUAUGUUCCCCCCAACAGUGUACGGGGUUCCCUUUUCUCCACACUAGUUAUUAUCCUCACCUAGUUACUUCAUGUCUUUUUUGAUAGGAAACCCUAGUUCUUAAUUACUAUUCAUACUACUGCCUUGUUUUAUAACACUCUCCCACCCCCAGCAAGCUGCAUGGCUCCAGGCACCAUGGACACCAGAAAGGCUGCCCAGCUGAGGCAUCUGCCACCUCUGGCUCCACAAGGGAAGCGCAAGAGGCAUGGCAGGUGGUUGGUAAGCUUCUUUUCCUCUCAAGCUACCACUGGCAAGUCGGCUUACUUGGGAGGCCAGAGGUAGGCGGAGCUAGUGAGCCGGCCGGCCCCCUACCAAGGAAUCUUGCAGGGAUCAGUGCAUGGGAUACCUGGCAACUGCUGGUCUCCCUUUUGUGGCUGGUUUGAGGUCUGUGAGCAUUUGCACUGCAACUAGUACCCACAGAUGUCAGUGUUGGAAAGUCCCUCUGAUACGUUUAGUUUGUAAUUCCCCAACUUCGCCAAAAGCCACCUUGAUUAUGUCUCCCACGACUGUUGUUCCUUCGACUCAAGAGCACUUUUAACUUGUGCAGCCUCAUUAUGGGAGGUUCUAUUUGCAUGCAGCCUGGCUAUGGGAAAUAGACAACGUUUUAGACAGAGGGCCAGAGAGGGAAAGCGACUAGCUGUAAGUGGCAGAGCUGCGCCGGGGCUAGGACCCGGUUCCAUGCUACCUUCAAAGCCUACGUCACCAGGACUCCGCCCCGAGAUCGGCGACUGAGCCCCAGCCCCGCAGGUUCCAAACUCGCCCCGCGCCCCCUGGUGCGCACACUCAGUCCGACCCCGCAGGCGCACCGCCCACCCAGGUCCUCCGGCCCCAACGGGUGUGCUUGGGGGUAAACUGAGGCAGAGAGUGUGCUUGUGAGUUCGUUCCUUCUUCAAUUCACACUCCCGGGCCCGCAAAACUGCCUCCCGCUUUUCAGAUUCGCGUGGAACAGAAGAGAGAAAGAGGAGGGGGCCGAAAGCAAACAGGGUCUGACGACCCGGCCGGUCCUGCCACACUCAAGAUGGCGGCACGGCAGCGGCGAGGUCCCUCAGAGGCGGUACCAACGCAUGCGCAGCGCGGAGUCCCGGCCCGGGACACAAGAUGGCGGGAGCGGCGCUGGGGAGGGCGAGGCGGAGGCGGCAAAACGGGCGGCCGAGCAGAACGUGUAGCCGCGUCCCCUCGAAUCCGCUUCGGGCAGUUGCUGAUGCAAGGAAUUCCCUGGGCCCCUGUCCAUUCCACUGCUGAUCAGCCCACCUACCUGUGCCGAGCCUUCCUGCAGGCCUCCCCGCUGCCUCUGUGGGACCCUGUGCCGUGGGGGUCCAUCCGGCCGGAGAAGAAAACCCUCUCAUGCUAGCAUUGCAGACCCCAGAGGGUCCGGUGUGGGUGCUGAGAUGGCCAAUGAGAAUCACGGCAGCCCCCGGGAGGAAGCAUCCUUGCUGAGUCACUCCCCGGGCACCUCCAAUCAGAGCCAGCCUUGCUCUCCAAAGCCCAUCCGCCUGGUGCAGGACCUCCCAGAGGAGCUGGUGCAUGCGGGCUGGGAGAAGUGCUGGAGCAGGAGGGAGAACCGUCCCUACUACUUCAACCGAUUCACCAACCAGUCCCUGUGGGAGAUGCCUGUGCUGGGCCAGCAUGACGUGAUUUCGGACCCUUUGGGACUGAAUGCGACCCCACCGCCCCAAGACUCAAGCCUGGUGGAAACUCCGGCAGCUGAGAACAGGCCCCGAAAGCGGCAGCUCUCAGAAGAGCAGCCAAGUGGCAAUGGUGUGAAGAAGCCCAAGAUCGAAAUCCCUGUGACACCCACAGGCCCAUCAGUGCCCAGCUCCCCCAGUGUCCCCGGAACCCCAACGCUGAAGAUUUGGGGGACGUCCCCUGAAGAUAAACAGCAGGCAGCUCUCCUCCGACCCACUGAGGUGUACUGGGAUCUGGACAUCCAGACCAACGCUGUCAUCAAGCACCGGGGGCCUUCCGAGGUGCUGCCCCCACACCCUGAGGUGGAGCUGCUCCGCUCCCAGCUCAUCCUGAAGCUCCGGCAGCACUACCGGGAGCUGUGCCAGCAGCGAGAAGGCAUUGAGCCCCCUCGGGAAUCUUUCAACCGCUGGAUGCUGGAGCGCAAGGUCGUGGAUAAAGGCUCUGACCCUCUGUUGCCAAGCAACUGUGAACCGGUCGUGUCGCCUUCCAUGUUUCGAGAAAUCAUGAAUGACAUUCCCAUCAGGUUAUCCCGAAUCAAGUUCCGGGAGGAAGCCAAGCGCCUACUGUUUAAAUAUGCGGAGGCCGCCAGGCGGCUCAUUGAGUCCAGGAGUGCAUCCCCUGACAGCAGGAAGGUGGUCAAGUGGAACGUGGAGGACACCUUCAGCUGGCUGCGGAAGGACCACUCAGCCUCCAAAGAGGACUAUAUGGAUCGCUUGGAGCAUCUGCGGAAGCAGUGUGGCCCCCACGUCUCAGCUGCAGCCAAGGACUCCGUGGAAGGAAUCUGUAGUAAAAUCUAUCACAUCUCCCUGGAGUAUGUCAAACGCAUCCGAGAGAAGCACCUUGCCAUCCUUAAGGAAAACAACAUCCCAGAGGAAGCGGAGGCCCCAGAAGUGGAGCCUCGCCUGGUGUACUGCUACCCGGUGCGCCUGGCCGUGUCUGCGCCCCCCAUGCCCAGCGUGGAGAUGCACAUGGAGAAUAAUGUGGUCUGCAUCCGGUAUAAGGGAGAGAUGGUCAAGGUCAGCCGCAACUACUUCAGCAAGCUGUGGCUCCUUUACCGCUACAGCUGCAUUGAUGACUCUGCCUUUGAGAGGUUCCUGCCCCGAGUGUGGUGUCUCCUCCGACGGUACCAGAUGAUGUUUGGCGUGGGCCUCUACGAGGGGACAGGCCUGCAGGGAUCACUGCCGGUGCACGUCUUCGAGACCCUCCACAGACUCUUUGGUGUCAGCUUCGAGUGCUUUGCUUCGCCCCUCAAUUGCUACUUCCGCCAGUACUGCUCUGCCUUCCCUGACACAGACGGCUACUUCGGCUCCCGAGGGCCCUGCCUGGACUUCUCCCCGCUGAGUGGGUCCUUUGAGGCCAACCCUCCGUUCUGCGAGGAGCUCAUGGAGGCCAUGGUUGCUCACUUCGAGAAACUGCUCGAGAGCUCACUGGAGCCCCUGUCCUUCAUCGUGUUCAUCCCCGAGUGGCGGGAACCCCCGACACCAGCGCUCACCCACAUGGAACAGAGCCGCUUCAAACGCCACCAGCUGAUCCUGCCCGCCUUUGAGCAUGAGUACCGCAGUGGGUCCCAGCACAUCUGCAAGAAGGAGGAGAUGCACUACAAGGCCGUCCACAACACAGCCGUGCUCUUCCUGCAGAACGACCCUGGCUUUGCCAAGUGGGGGCCGACACCGGAGCGGCUGCAGGAGCUGAGCACCGCCUAUCGGCAGUCAGGCCGAAGCCACGGCUCCGGCUCCGGCUCCGGCUCCGGCUCCGGCUCCUCUUCCUCCUCCACCUCCUCCUCCUCCUCCUCGGAGGCCAAGGACCGGGACUCAGGCCGCGAGCAGGGCCCUAGCCGCGAGCCUCACCCCACUUAACAUCCUGCGGGGAGGAGGAGCCCCAGGGUGCUGGUAUGGACUGCUGGGACUCAGGGCUCUUGGGGCUGAGCAGACCCCAGGACCCUCCUGGGGUGACAGCAGGACUCAGGCUGCAAUGACAUAGGAAAAUUAUGGCUCCGCCAGGGCUCCCCCUCCCUGCCCACGUCCCCCAACUUCCCACCUCGAACUUCCUCCAAAUCCCCUGUAAAUAGGCCCCAUGCCUCCCCCCUCUCCCCUCCCCUGUGCCACCUUGUUUCAUUUGUAAAAGGAAAUACAGAACCCCGUCCUCAAAAGAGUGUGUGAGGGUCUUGAGGACAGAGAAGGCUGAGGACCCUGGAGCUACUUCUGGGACCACAGCCCUUGACAUCCAGGCUCACCUUCUCAUGACCCUUGGCCUUCACACCCACCCCAGGACUUUAGUGUCUAAUUUCGCACCCUGCUGUCCCCCGUAACUGGGACUCUGGUGGCCUCUGCCUAUUCCCAGCAGGUCUAGAGUGCAGAGCCCUGCACCAUCUAUCUGGUAAGCCCCAAACUCCCACAGCUGGACCUGUGCUGGUCCCUCUGGGGAGUAGAGGACUGGCGGCUGUGCCCAGGUAGAAGCUAGACGUCUGCUGGCCCUGGAGCCACUAUAGUGAGUGGGCAGCCAGGUGUGUUUUACAGUCAGGUCUGGAGGAAAUACAGCUCAGAGGCACCACGGGCCUCGGUGCGGCCUCUAUGCAGACAGGCAGCUGGCCGCACUACCCUCUGAGGACCUCUAGGCAUGGAGCAGACGCCCCUCUGGGGCCCAGGGGAGGAAGCUGGGGGCUCUUGCAGGCUGUGUCAGGCGUCUGCCCUGCUGUAGGGCCACCAUACUUACUGAGGCAAAGCUGGAUGCACUGCGGGCUAGGCCACCUCUGCCUCACUCCCCCCUUGUGGCUGUAACAGGCUCCUCCUUCCUGCUGCUCCCCAAGUCCUUGCCUGCUUCAGGCUGUAGCAGCAAGUGGACAAAGUGAGCUGGCCAGGGCUGGACUCUGGUCCCUUUAUUGAGACUGAGAGGCCAGUGGAUCCAUCGCAACAAAAAUAAAUCUCUCCCCCAAAGCCUGCCUGCAGGCUGGGGCACCCAGCAUGUCCUGGCUGGGGCCCAUGGCUGUCCCCCAACCCCCACAGCACAGGUCUGGCUCCCUUGGAGUGACAGGAUGCUGGCUGCCCAAUAUUUGGAGACCCUAGGUGGAGCAGGGAGUCCCCAUGGGUCCCCCCAACCCCCAGCAGGGCUGGCCCCAGUAUCCAUGGUCUGCGUUG